rnacentral:rRNA from 1 species
AUUGAACGCUGGCGGCAUGCCUUACACAUGCAAGUCGUACGGUAACAGGUUAAGCUGACGAGUGGCGAACGGGUGAGUAAUGUAUCGGAACGUGCCCAGUCGUGGGGGAUAACUACUCGAAAGAGUGGCUAAUACCGCAUACGACCUGAGGGUGAAAGCGGGGGACCGUAAGGCCUCGCGCGAUUGGAGCGGCCGAUAUCAGAUUAGCUAGUUGGUGGGGUAAAAGCCCACCAAGGCGACGAUCUGUAGCUGGUCUGAGAGGACGACCAGCCACACUGGGACUGAGACACGGCCCAGACUCCUAUGGGAGGCAGCAGUGGGGAAUUUUGGACAAUGGACGCUAGUCUGAUCCAGCCAUGCCGCGUGCGGGAAGAAGGCCUUCGGGUUGUAAACCGCUUUUGUCAGGGAAGAAACGAGUUUCUCUAAUACAGAGACUUAAUGACGGUACCUGAAGAAUAAGCACCGGCUAACUACGUGCCAGCAGCCGCGGUAAAAC